AACGAACGCUGGCGGCAUGCCUAACACAUGCAAGUCGAACGAGAGGGCCCCGCAAGGGGCUAGUAAAGUGGCGCACGGGUGAGUAACACGUGGGUAAUCUGCCUUUUAGUUUGGGAUAACCCUUCGAAAGAAGGGCUAAUACCGGAGAGACCACAGGGACAUCAGUCCUAGGGGUUAAAGAUUGGGACCGUAAGGCCAAUCGCUAUUAGAUGAGCCCGCGCACUAUCAGCUAGUUGGUGAGGUAAUGGCUCACCAAGGCUAUGACGGUUAGCUGGUCUGAGAGGAUGAUCAGCCACACUGGAACUGAGACACGGUCCAGACUCCUACGGGAGGCAGCAGUGGGGAAUCUUGCACAAUGGGCGAAAGCCUGAUGCAGCAAUGCCGCGUGAGUGAUGAAGGCCCUAGGGUUGUAAAACUCUUUCGUGGGGGACGAUAAUGACGGUACCCCGAAGAAGAAGCUCCGGCUAA
rnacentral:rRNA from 1 species